AAGAAAUUGAAGAGGAACCUAUCAACAAAGCUGAAGUUCCAAGUCAUAGGACAGAUAAAUUGCAAGAUUGCAUAACAUCAAUAAUUGAAAUUGCACUCCAUUGCUCCAUGGACGAGCCAGAAGAACGUCUGACCAUAAGCGAUGUUGUGAGGGCACUACGUCUAAUCAAAGGCAAUUUUCUUGGAGCAAAAAUCUAUCAAUAAGGAGCAACUACUCUUGAUUCGAAGUUUCAAGAUCAGCUAUAAGGAUGGAAAACAGGACUCUAUGAUAAGGAUUGCAGCAAGCCACUAAAGCUUGAAGAUUGAUGAGAAACCAGUGUAGUUCGAUAUAAAGGAGACAUGAUCAAUUGUUUGAUGGAAGACAAUUAUAUAGAUUGGCCAAGCCUCUACUAAUAUGGGUAGUUUACUUGUUGGCUACCAUUUGUUUUGGGGAUAACAUAUCUAAGGUUUUAUAUAGUCUGGAUUUGCCUGCAGAGUUUUUAUGUUUUUUUGAUGUGGUGUUUCAUAAUAUAGUGCUUGUAUAUAUCAGCUCCUACUUUCUGUAGUCAUAACUAAAGCCGACAUCUUCAAAUGAAUAGAAGAAAAAUGAAAGCAUGGAAA